rnacentral:rRNA from 1 species
GGGUUGUGAGGUUAAGCGACUAAGCGUACACGGUGGAUGCCCUGGCAGUCAGAGGCGAUGAAGGACGUGCUAAUCUGCGAUAAGCGUCGGUAAGGUGAUAUGAACCGUUAUAACCGGCGAUUUCCGAAUGGGGAAACCCAGUGUGAUUCGUCACACUAUCAUUAACUGAAUCCAUAGGUUAAUGAGGCG